GAAUGUUGAUGGUGCAACUAACCACUUUUUUCAACCAUCGCGACGCCUUCCUACUCCAGGAAAGGCCACUAUACUUGCCAUGGGCAAGGCUUUUCCUUCACAACUCGUCCCUCAGGAUUGCUUGGUUGAAGGCUACAUGCGCGAUACCAACUGUCAAGAUAUGGCAAUUAAGGAGAAAUUGGAGCGCCUUUGUAAGCAAAAAAUACUUCUAUUUAGUGUUUCAUGCUUGUAAUCCCAUCUUCUUUGACGAAUUUUUUUAACUUAUAUAUACUGACAACAUAACGAAUAUUUACACUAUUAGCUUAUUUCAACAGGCUUUGCUAUCUUAUUUUCAAGUAACAUAUCUUUGGGUGACCUGAUGGUACACAAUUUUCUUUACUGUGUCAGAGUAUAUGAGUUGAACUCUUCUUCAGUACAAAAAUUACUUCUAUUAACGCUUCAUGCUUAUAAUCCCAUUUUCUUUAACGAAUUUUUACUUAUAUAUACUGACAACAUAACUAGUUUUACAUUGUUAAUGUAUUGUAACAUGUUGUAGCAGGUUAACUAUCUUAUUUUCAAGUUACAUAUAUUUCGGUGACCUGAUAGUUCAAAAUCUCUUUUUACCACAUGUCAGAGUAUAUGAGCUGAGCUCUUCUUUAUUAUUAUUUUUAGUCCCAUUUCCAUGUUGUUCCUGUUUUUGAUUAUUUGUAUGUAGGCAAAACUACUACUGUGAAGACAAGAUACACAGUAAUGUCAAAAGAAAUUUUGGACAAGUAUCCGGAACUAGCGGUUGAAGGCACACCAACAAUCAAUCAAAGGCUAGAAAUCGCGAAUCCAGCAGUUGUUGAAAUGGCAAAACAAGCAAGCUUAGCUUGCAUUAAGGAAUGGGGAAGAUCAACUGAUGAAAUCACUCACAUUGUUUAUGUUUCAUCAAGCGAAAUACGCUUACCAGGAGGUGAUCUUCACCUUGCUACUGAGCUUGGAUUGAGGAGUGACAUUGGACGCGUAAUGCUCUACUUUUUGGGAUGUUAUGGUGGUGUCACAGGACUUAGAGUUGCCAAAGAUAUAGCUGAAAACAAUCCAGGAAGCAGAGUUCUG
rnacentral:lncRNA from 1 species